ensembl:miRNA
AUUGUCAUUUUAUGGUUAAAAAAACAUACAUGGCAUGACUAUAAAGUAAUGAGACGAGUUUCCAUGUGUGGCUUGUAUUACCGAGUCUCAUUAGUAUAUAGUCACAUCCUGUCU